rnacentral:rRNA from 1 species
UACGAAGGUGGCAAGCGUUGUUCGGAUUUACUGGGCGUACAGGGAGCGUAGGCGGUUGGAUAAGCCCUCCGUGAAAUCUCCAGGCUUAACCUGGAAAGUGCAGAGGGGACUGUUCAGCUAGAGGAUGGGAGAGGAGCGCGGAAUUCCCGGUGUAGUGGUGAAAUGCGUAGAGAUCGGGAGGAACACCAGUGGCGAAGGCGGCCCCCUGGGCCGUUCCUGACGCUGAGACGCGAAGGCGCGGGGAGCGAACGGG